UCAAUUAAAGCCAAAAAGCGGCAUAUCACUGUUAAUGAUAUUAUUGGGUAAUUUCUUAACCCUAAUUGAG
rnacentral:tRNA from 1 species